AUGUCUUAUACCAAAGACAGGAAAAAAGUGUUUUUGUUUGAAACUAUUACAUUUGUUGUUGUUGUUAAAGUUGAGGACUUGUUAAGAAGUUAUUGUUCUUUCAUUGAGAAAAAGUUCAAAGAUUCAGAGAUUCAUAGUACAAAACAGAUGAGAAAUAGAAGGAGACACAAGCUAUCAAAUUCAAGUUGUAUGGUUGAGAUAGAGGAAGGAUCGAUCAAUUUGAUCCUAGGACAUAUGCUAAGUGUUUUGAGGGUUUGA